rnacentral:rRNA from 1 species
AGAGACAGCAGCCGCCACGGUAAUACGAAGGGUGCAAGCGUUAAUCGGAAUUACUGGGCGUAAAGGGUGCGUAGGCGGUUAGUUAAGUCUGUCGUGAAAUCCCCGGGCUCAACCUGGGAAUGGCGAUGGAUACUGGCUGGCUAGAGUGUGUCAGAGGAUGGUGGAAUUUCCGGUGUAGCGGUGAAAUGCGUAGAUAUAGGAAGGAACACCAGUGGCGAAGGCGACUACCUGGACUGAUACUGACACUGAGGUGCGAAAGCGUGGGGAGCGAACAGGAUUAGAUACCCCAGUAGUCCCUGUCUCUUAUAC